rnacentral:lncRNA from 1 species
AAGAAUACGUCUGCAUCAAAUGAAUCACACAUUUUGACAUAAAUUCAUCCAGGUGUCUGGUAUACGGACAUAUGAGGACCUGGGAGUGACCCUCUUGGACUGAAAGAAGACAUGGCGCCAAUAAGCUUAGGCAGUGAGAAUGCCUUUCGCUGGGCCAAGAGACAUAACCGAACUCGUCAGUUCAUGCAACAGUCAGGAUUGAGGCCAGGCUGCAAAUAUGGGCCUGCCCACCACCUAUGUGGCUACUAGGACAGCGUGGCUGCCAUUCUUCAAGGUGUCAGGCCUUCUGACAAAGUCCGCUUUGGAGAAGGAGCGCUAUGGAGCCCUUCUGGAAGAGUAGAAAGCGUACAGGCACUACGGCCGAAAAGAUGGGAUCCCUCUUGUGCGUGUCGUCAGCUGAGGGAUCCAGGAGAAGCCCCUUAACAUCUCAGAG